UACAGGAGGGGCAAGCGUUGUUCGGAAUUACUGGGCGUAAAGGGCGCGUAGGCGGCCUUCUAAGUCGAAACGUGAAUCCCCAGGCUUAACUUGGGAACUGCGUCUGAUACUGGGAGGCUUGAGUUUGGGAGAGGGAUGCGGAAUUCCAAGGUGUAGCGGUGAAAUGCGUAGAUAUCUGGAGGAACACCGGUGGCGAAGGCGGCAUCCUGGACCAACACUGACACUGAGGAGCGGAAAGCCAGGGGAGCAAACGGG
rnacentral:rRNA from 1 species